rnacentral:rRNA from 1 species
ACAUGCCUACAAUAUAGCGUUAAUGCACUAGAUCCCAUUAGAACUUUGAAAUUAAGCGCACUCAAGAUAGAGUAGUACUAGGAUGGGUGAAUGCCCAUGAAGUCAUAUUGUUUUACAUGCC